UACGUAGGGUGCGAGCGUUAAUCGGAAUUACUGGGCGUAAAGCGUGCGCAGGCGGUUCGUUGUGUCUGCUGUGAAAGCCCCGGGCUCAACCUGGGAAUUGCAGUGGAAACUGGAGAGCUUGAGUGUGGCAGAGGGGGGUGGAAUUCCGCGUGUAGCAGUGAAAUGCGUAGAGAUGCGGAGGAACACCGAUGGCGAAGGCAAUCCCCUGGGCUGACACUGACGCUCAGGCACGAAAGCGUGGGGAGCAAACAGG
rnacentral:rRNA from 1 species